GCCGGGGUGGCCGAGCGGCCUAAGGCGACGGGCUUGAGACCCGUUGUCCCCCCGGGACGCGCGGGUUCGAAUCCCGCCCCCGGCGCCA
rnacentral:tRNA from 1 species